GAUGAACGCUGGCGGCGUGCCUAAUACAUGCAAGUCGAGCGAACGGACGAGAAGCUUGCUUCUCUGAUGUUAGCGGCGGACGGGUGAGUAACACGUGGAUAACCUACCUAUAAGACUGGGAUAACUUCGGGAAACCGGAGCUAAUACCGGAUAAUAUUUUGAACCGCAUGGUUCAAAAGUGAAAGACGGUCUUGCUGUCACUUAUAGAUGGAUCCGCGCUGCAUUAGCUAGUUGGUAAGGUAACGGCUUACCAAGGCAACGAUGCAUAGCCGACCUGCGAGGGUGAUCGGCCACACUGGAACUGAGACACGGUCCAGACUCCUACGGGAGGCAGCAGUAGGGAAUCUUCCGCAAUGGGCGAAAGCCUGACGGAGCAACGCCGCGUGAGUGAUGAAGGUCUUCGGAUCGUAAAACUCUGUUAUUAGGGAAGAACAUAUGUGUAAGUAACUGUGCACAUCUUGACGGUACCUAAUCAGAAAGCCACGGCUAACUACGU
rnacentral:rRNA from 1 species